rnacentral:rRNA from 1 species
ACCCGCUGAACUUAAGCAUAUCAAUAAGCGGAGGAAAAGAAACCAACAGGGAUUGCCUCAGUAACGGCGAGUGAAGCGGCAAUAGCUCAAAUUUUAAAUCUGGCGCAAGCCCGAGUUGUAAUUUGAAGAGGAUGCCUCGGUUGCGGCCCCGGCCCAAGUUUCUUGGAACAGGACGUCAUGGAGGGUGAGAAUCCCGUCUGGCUGGUGGUUCACACCGUGUGUGGCUCCUUCGAAGAGUCGAGUUGUUUGGGAAUGCAGCUCAAAAUGGGUGGUAGAUUUCCAUCUAAAGCUAAAUACUGGCGAGAGACCGAUAGCGCACAAGUAGAGUGAUCGAAAGAUGAAAAGCACUUUGAAAAGAGAGUUAAAUAGUACGUGAAAUUGUUGAAAGGGAAGCGCUUGCAAUCAGACUCGCCUGCGGUUGAUCAACGUCCCUUCUGGUUCGUGCACUCUUCUGUGGGCGGGCCAGCAUCGGUUGGGGCGGUGGGACAAAGACGCUGGGAAUGUGGCUCCUCGGAGUGUUAUAGCCCUGCGUGCAAUGCCACCUGCCCCGACCGAGGUCCGCGCUUCGGCUAGGAUGCUGGCUUAAUGGUUGUAAGCGACCCGUCUUGAAACACGG